rnacentral:rRNA from 1 species
UGGGGAAUAUUGCGCAAUGGGGGCAACCCUGACGCAGCGACGCCGCGUGAGUGAGGAAGGCCUUCGGGUCGUAAAGCUCUGUCAAAGGGAAAGAAGUGCAUGGUGGUUAAUACCUGCCAUGUUUGACGGUACCCUUAAAGGAAGCACCGGCUAACUCCGUGCCAGCAGCCGCGGUAAUACGGAGGGUGCAAGCGUUGUUCGGAAUUACUGGGCGUAAAGGGCGCGUAGGCGGUUUUAUAAGUCAGAUGUGAAAGCCCACGGCUUAACUGUGGAAGUGCAUUUGAAACUGUGAGACUUGAGUACCAGAGGGGAAAGUGGAAUUCCCGGUGUAGAGGUGAAAUUCGUAGAUAUCGGGAGGAAUACCGGUGGCGAAGGCGACUUUCUGGCUGGAUACUGACGCUGAGGCGCGAAAGCGUGGGGAGCAAACA